UACAGAGGUCUCAAGCGUUGUUCGGAUUCAUUGGGCGUAAAGGGUGCGUAGGUGGGCAGUUAAGUCAGUGGUGAAAUCUCCGGGCUUAACCCGGAAACUGCCAUUGAUACUAUCUGUCUUGAAUAUCGUGGAGGUAAGCGGAAUAUGUCAUGUAGCGGUGAAAUGCUUAGAUAUGACAUAGAACACCAAUUGCGAAGGCAGCUUACUACCCGAAUAUUGACACUGAGGCACGAAAGCGUGGGGAUCAAACAGG
rnacentral:rRNA from 1 species